AAGAGGUCCCGCCUGCCCUGUGACUACAUGUUCAACGGCCGCGGUAUUUUGACCGUGCAAAGGUAGCGCAAUCACUUGUCUUUUAAAUGGAGACCUGUAUGAAUGGCACCACGAGGGCUUAACUGUCUCCUUUUCCAAGUCAAUGAAAUUGAUCUUCCCGUGCAGAAGCGGGAAUAAACCCAUAAGACGAGAAGACCCUAUGGAGCUUUAGACACUAAAACAGCCCAUGUUAAAGCCCUUGUUCAAAAGACUAAACUGAGUGGCCCCUGUCCUAAUGUCUUCGGUUGGGGCGACCAUGGGGAAACAAAAAACCCCCACGUGGACUAGAAAUACCCUCUUUCCAAAACUCAGAGCUACGGCUCUAAGUAACAAAAAAUUUGACCUUUAAGAUCCGGCAAAGCCGAUCAACGGACCAAGUUACCCUAGGGAUAACAGCGCAAUCCUCUUCAAGAGCCCUUAUCGACGAGAGGGUUUACGACCUCGAUGUUGGAUCAGGACAUCCUAAUGGUGCAGCCGCUAUUAAGGG
rnacentral:rRNA from 1 species